rnacentral:lncRNA from 1 species
UCAGGUGGACAUGGACUCCAUGGAAGCCUGAGCUGCCAGGGGCUUCCCUGGGGCAGCACUGCUUCGCGUAGGCUCACGAGAAACUUCCAGGGUUCCUGGGAAAUGAAUGAAAAUAAACAAACAAAUUCCUUGCAUUCAACGCAGCGUAAGAAAAAUCACAUCCUGUUCCCCAGUAGCUGAGGAAAGCCGGCUCACGAGAGUAUACAGGGAGAAGAGGCCAGCAUUGUGUGGCUGCCAGCAAAGCUCACUUGUAUGUCAAAUGCAGCGCUUUUCUUAGCCCAUUAUGUAUUUUUUUUUUCUUGAACACUCCUGUGUCUACUGGGAUCUCCUGUUUUUAUUGUUUUGGGAUGAGAUUUUAAAAACACCAUUUAAUGUA